GCUUAUGAGCGCCUAGGGGUUGGUAGACCAGAUGUUGUUCGCCUAUGUAGGCCUUUCCCCCGAGCUGUUAGAUGGAAAUGCCGGCGCAGAACUGACAACAUUCAUAAUUGCUAUAGACCGUAUCGGCAAGAGCUUGAUCAACUUAAGGAAUGCGAGUGAAUGCUGAUGGGUGUCUGAUGACUUAACUCCAAGAUAUGUCACCGGACUAUCACUUACAGCAGGGAGUAAGAAGUCAAUUCUUCAACAUGUUCAUUCUUUGGGUUCAACGGUAAAUUCUAACUAAUUCUGAAUUCAAAUAACUUCAUCCGUUUCCCCAUUUUAAGUAACUUUAAAUUCUAGUCAACAAAGUUGGAAAAUUAUGUUUUACAUGCGUAUGGAGAAUCCAAACUGUCAACGAUGCUGGUGGAUGGGAAGACUGAACCACUGUGGAGAACAUAUAUGGGACCUUGCAGUCAGGGCAAUUCUUAAGUGUUGGAAGUUCUUUAUUGUUUGGACUUAUCUGUAAAAAAUGGAGUUCCUAGCACCUUCAAGCCUUACAGAUUUCAGCAACACUGAUGGUCAUGUGGCUGCAAUCUUCAAGAAAACGGCUAAGGAGAUUAUAGUUUGUGAGGUCAGUGAAAAAGCCAACAACAAAUGCAAAAUUUGAAUUUGCCAAAUUCUUCUCAACAGAUGGCGAGAGACUAGAUCAUAACUUUCAAUCUUACUGUCUUUAUUGGCAUAUGCAUAUUCCACGACGUGUACACAUUCUUCUUCAUGAGAAAGGUAGUUGCUCUGUGGGUCACUUUUUUCUUCUACUGCCAGAUCGCCACAAGUGUUUUUUUGCAGAAGUUCAUCUCCCCAAGCCUACUUCCAUCUAUAUUCCUGUCGCAAUUAUAAUUCUCAAUGCCAUCUUGCAACCCAAGGUAAGGGGGAAAAAAAAGUGAUCGCAUCAUACAAAUGUAAGGUUGUUCAUUAAGAAAAAUGAAAUGUGGCAACCGAGAGGAAGGCUUCAGGAGGGGUGGUUAUAUGUGUGGAAUGUAAUGAAUUGCUACUCUUAUCACCCUGAAAGUCCACUUGUUAGGAAGGAAUGAAAGCCUUAUUGCACCCAUGGCACAGUAAGUACCAGGUACUAUGUUGAAGAUGUGUUGUCCUGCAACUCUUCUAUUGAUUUUGUUUGCCAUUCAAUUUUUUGAAUAAUCAACCCCUGUAACUCUUCAUCUAGUUGUUUCUGGAUACUUUUUGAGAAUGUAAUGUCACUCCAUCGAA